rnacentral:sRNA from 1 species
AUAUACCUAAUAUUGGUACAAUAAUAUAUUAUUGGUAUAUAUAAUUAUAAGCGCAAAAAAUAAGUCCAGCAGGUUUAUAGUAAUGGCGAUAGCAAUUUUAAAUAUACAUUUUAUAUUCAAUCCGUUUAUUAUUUUACAAAUUUAUUAGUAAAUAUAUUGUUUAUUAUUUUAUAAUAUUUGUUUAACACCAAGUAUAAAAUCUCAUUUAUAACGCGGAAACCUAUUUCCUGGUCGUUGGAAUUUGUAUUACCAAAUAUAAUAAUAAAACCAAUUUGUGAGUUGAAAUCUUUAUUAUUGGUAAAAAACCCGUCGACAAAUAUAAAAAGAUUCGUUUUUUCGAAUUUACCGGAACGUAAAAUAACCAUUUUUGCGCGUUUUCCCUUAACCAAUUUAUACGUUUAUUUAUUUAUUUAUAAUUUUUACAAUGUGGUUUUAUUAUUCGCGCGGCCGCGGCGAAAUUAAAUACCGUUUCCGGUUUAUAACUUAAUAUAACGUACGUUUUUCGCAUUUUUACAUAAUAAAUUCGUAUUUUAAUUUUAAUUAAUUCGGUUUUAUUAUUUCUAACUUAUUAAUUUGAUUUUGUUAACAAAGGUCUAGAAGGAAUUGGUAGAGUUUGGUUUAAUAACCGUUAAAAUAUUAUUUGUUUUUUAAUUUUAUAAUUGUUAAUAAUUUUGUUUGAAAACUUGUUUUUUCGAGUUUUUAUUAUUUGUCUCUAAUAAACUUUUUAUUUUCCAAAUUAACCGUAUCAUUUAUUUGCAUUUUUAUUAAAGCAAAAUUGUUUCCCGGUUGGGAAAAAACAAAUAUAGGUUAUAAUUUAAUGGAACGUAAUCUAGGCGAUUUUAUGAUAUUAUUAAUAAAUAACGAACUAAUAUAAUCCCGUUCCGGCAGAACCGUAUAAGGGUUUAAAAAAUUUAAAAACCGUGUUUUUCAAAAAUUGGUAUUUAAUUCUUUUUAAUAUACGCACCAAAAUACUUUUUCAACACGUUAUAAAAUUUUAUAUAUAAAUUUGGUUAGUAUUUCGGAAUAUAAAACUAUAUCCGCGUCUUUUUAAAACCGGUAUAAACGUUAAUAUAAACCGUUGGUUACACCGUAUAAUUGUGGGUAAUUAUGUAAAUAAAACUCUUUUAUUUAUUAUUAUUAUAAUUUUAUAUUAUAAAACGUAAUUAUUUAUAUAAUUGUUCGGGUAAUUUGCUAAUUUUAUUAAUAAAACGCGAUUUAAAAGUUUUUUACUAGUUUUUAAAUUGGCUUUUCUCCAGCGGUUAUAAUAGUUUUGUAAUUAACAAUAUAUUAAUUUCACGUUAUAUAAAGUUUUGGAAUAGUUUGGUUGGAUUUUAAGUCUCUUUUCCUAUUUAUAUUUAAUCGGCAAUUUGUAAGUUUAUAUUCUUUUUAUUACGUAUUAAUAUAUAGCUAUUUCGCGGGUAAUCUUUCAACUUUUUCAUUUGUUAUUAUUCCGUUUUUUUAAAGCUCGAUCCCGUAUUUCAAACUUUUUCGUUUUCGGGUAUUAUUUUCGGUAAUAAUUCGUAAACUAUUAUUUCAGUUUCGGGUUCUUUUUACUUAUAUUAAAACAAGAACUGUUAAUAUCUUAUUUAUUAUUCUUUUUGUUUUUUUCUUUAGUUGUUUGGGUUUUAAAUAAUCGAAUUUCAGAUUUUUCGGCGUGAGUUUUUCGCCUGGGUUCUUUUAUUUGUUAAAACAAUUAUACGGUUUUACAUGCGUAUUUCGGAACGUAAAAGGCCUUUUUAUUAUACUAACCGUUAUAAAAAUACUUGUUAUAUUUAAUAUUUUAUAAAGUCAGGUCCAUUUAUAUAUUAUUUAUAUAUCAAAACCUUAGAUUCUAAUUAUUAUUAUUAUUAUUGGUAAUCUUUUUAUAUUCGGGCCGUUUUUCAUUUCAAACGUUUUAUUAAUUUGUUUUUAGUUAUUAUUUUUCGUAAUUCUCUAUUAUUUUAUUAAUAAUUUCUGCGCGUUAUAUUUGGUUUUUAAAAAGAGCCGAACCGUGGGUAGUCCGUGGUAUAACCCCAAAUAUUAAUAAAAUCGAUAUAAAACCGCUUAUUCCCGCGGUAUUAUUUACUCUUUUUACCGCUGUUUAUAAUAUUACCGGUUAUAUUAUAUUUUUAUAUCCGAUUUUAUCCAUUUCGUAGGUUUUCCGUAACAGUUUAUAAUUACGUUCGAUUUUAUUUAAUAACCAAUACGCUUUUAUUAAUAUUUGGUUAUAUAUUGUUUCAAAAAAACGUGUUUUUAUUUUAAAAUUUAAAAUUGUAAAAUUGGUAUAUAAUUUGUAAAUAACAAUAUUUGGGGCUUUCAAAUACGCAUUUAUCCAGUAUUUUUUAAUACUUCGCAUAUUUUUUUGAUUAAUACGUUAUUAAAAAAACGCUUUGUUUGGAAUAUAAUAUUCGCGUUAAUUAUAUAUACAUUUCGUUAAAAAUUUCAAUAUAUAAUAUUAACGCCAAUUUUGUAAUUAAAAUUUAUAUUAUUUUGUAAGGGAAAUUUAUAACGUUAUAAAACGUUUUUUUUAUCUGGUAAUAAUGGUAGAAACAGUUUAUUAAUUCCAAUAUAUCCCAGUUUAUUUUAUAAUUUAUUAUUUGCAAUAUUUUAUAUAAACGUUCUAUAAACGGGAUGUUAAAUUUUCAAUGCGUUAUUCGUAAUUAUUUUAAUAAAAAUAAUUAUUAUUAAAUUUACGUUUUUCGUAAAAUAUAUCGCCGGUUUUUUUGGUUCCGUUCCAGGUAAAUAGAAUUAUAAAUAUUUCCAUCUGCGUAAAAUUGAUAUUUUAAUAUUAUUAAUCUUUACAAAUUCGUUGCUAAUAUUACUUAAAUAUAUACCGAGCUUAUUUAUAUUUAUAAAUAUAUAAUAGAAACAAAAUGUUAAUUAAUAUUACGGGGAAUAUAAUUACGUCGAUUUGGGUAUUUAGCGUUAUUUCUAUUAUUACCGCAAUAUUCUUUUCCUGUUUUAAAAAGUACCGUAAUUUUAUUUAAGUUCGUUUUAUUAAAUUAAAUAUCCGCUUUUCGACGUUGCAAUAUUUUAAUUUGCCUUAUUCCGGCCGUGGAAAUUAUAAUUGCUUUUAUAUUAGGGAUAAUUUUAUACCAAAUUUUGUUUAUAUCCCGUUAAUGCAAAAUUUGGUAUAGACUUUUCUUUUUCCGUUCGUUUAUAAUUUGGAACUUUUUUAUAUUUAUUCCAAUCGGUGCCGGAAUAAUUCGUCGGGUAAAAAUUUAGCGGUUUUGUAACUUAUAAAAUAAAUAAAAAUAUAAUUAUUUUUUAGAAAAAUAACAUUUUAUUUUUUCAACGUUUGUAACGUUAUUUAAAUUGUUAUUUUGUUUUUUUAAUAUUUUGUUUAUUUUCCCAGGUUAUUACAAAUUGGUUAUUUCCGCUUUUUCUUUUCGCUUAACCAUCCCGGAUUUGCCGUUCGCUGAAACGGUGUUUUUUUCAAUAUAAUCGGAACGGCGGUAUUUUAGUUCUCCGUAUAUAUAAUAUUUUUUAUCUGUGGGAAUUUAUUAUUUUUUAUUAUUGCUUUUUUACGCGGGUAACGGUUUUUGCUACGGUUUCCUUUUUUAUAUAAUUUGUAUUUUCGGUUAAAAAAACGUAUUAUAAAUUGCAUAACGUUUUUCAAAUUUUAUAGUAAUUGUAAUUUCGUUCGGCAAUUUUGUAAAAAUAAUCGCCGGAUUUGCAACGAUUAUUUUAAAUUUUCGAACGUUUUUAAUAAUUUUCAAAAUUGUAAUAAUUAUAUAUUUUUUAUAUAUACAUUCGUAUAUUUGUAAUUCUUCUAAUAUAAUUGUUAAAAUUUAGGGUGCCCUUUCCUUUAUUAAUUGAAUUUUGCUUUUGUAUUUUAAAAA